rnacentral:lncRNA from 1 species
GAGUGAAUCUAUCCAGGAAGUUGUCACACAGACACCAAAGUGGAAUGACUCCAGGGGGAGUUCAAAGGCUUCUGAAGACCACGGGACCGAACGUCCAGCCUGGGGAGGACGCAGAAACUUCGGGUUGCCUUAGCGCCCUGUGCGCGCUUUGGCCCGCCUCUCGCCAUGGCUGGGCUGUUGUUGAUUGACAUGUGUCUCGCCCAAUGGCCUGCAACCUGGAGGACGCCAGCCCAGCAACAGUGAGGACCAGCAACGGUGAGGACCGAGGCAGACGUGCUCAGAGGGCAAGAAACAACUGAUGCAAGGAAGGGGGAAAAGGAAAAGAAGGCAGGGGAAGUGGGAAAGGAGGAUGGAAAAAAGGCCAGAGAAAUGUGAGAUCUACAGUCUCCCUAGUUAUAAAACCACUGGGUCUGGUCCCCGGGGAAAGUUCCACAGGUGAGAGACCUGGAAGAGAAAGGAGGCACCACCCCUUGCCCUACAUCUGCCACCCAGGGCUCAGUCCUUCCUUGUGACCUCAGCCGGGAGCCUAGAGUCUUCCCCACCUGCCGAUCGGCCCCCGCGACUCCACACGGGCCCCUGCCCUGCCAACACUGCUGCCUCUCGGGGGCGCUUGCUCCCUCCCGUCUCCAGGGCAACCUGGAGAUGCGCUGGCCCUCCACACCUGCCGGAGACCAGUGGGAGCAGCCUGGGUUCACCUCGCAUGGGACACCGCUGCCGCCACACUUUUCUUCAAGAGUACGACAAGACGCUUCGGCGAGGAUCAUGCGUAGACGCAGAAUACAUGGACUGUAACCCGGCUUCCCCAAGCACCCUUGUGAGCGGGUGACGCAACGGGAGCUCUGCGACCGUAUGACCUGUGAUGUGUGAAUGGCCACCCCCGACAGGGUGCUGAAUAACGACUUCACGUGAGCCUGAGAGGGACGCACGUGCCCAUUCCUGUGGCUCGUGUUGCCGGGUGAUGGGGCGGGCACGGCGGCGCGCUCAGCAACGCGAGCAGCGCAGAGCGAGGGGGGCCACCAAUGCCGAAUGAGAGAAUUAGGACCCAAAUAUCCAGUCAGCCCGGAACAAUACCAUGAAUCCACAAAGCGAAAGCCCUGUGCUUGGGCCCUGAAACAUGGCUGCCUGAGUCCCAGAGCGGGGUGUGGCUUCACCGCAGCACGCGUGAGAAAGACUGCUGGAUUUGUUGUGUGUAAAGAGAGAGGGUGUCUGCCAAGCAGGGCUGUGACAGCAGACGUGUGAGGGGGACCCAUUUGCUGGCUUCAGUCUCCUUCGUGGGAAGGGAAUCUCUCUGAGGAACCUUCUAGAAGAUGUAGGGUGUUCCUUGUGCCUUUAAUUGCUUUGUGGUGGUCUCUAAGCAGGACUCUUGUGCACUGGCUCCAGUGAUGUCACCAGCAAGCCUGCUUUGGAAAUUCAGGCAGCCCCUCUGCAGAGCCUGGCCCAUCCAAGCCCAGCUGCUCAG